GGUAGGCGAAUAAGCUUAUCUCCUUCCUUAAAACUUUCAAGACAUAUGCUACAAUCCCAUGAAACUUGGGAAACUUCCCCUUCAACAACACCCCUUUCCAGGUUGCUAAAUACCUCCAAUGAUAAUCUGUCAAGAUCCUCUGCAUUUAGACCAGGUGGUUUCUUCUUGUAUGAUUCCUGCAUGAAUUGCAGCCUUUCUGUUUGAGAAGUUGGGUCAGUGAAAGGAGUUCCUCUGGCAGACCACCUUGAAGCAAUGUCAGUUCCCCAGUCUCCCGCAUCAACAACCCUUGAGUCAUCCCAAAAUGUAUGCUCUCUGUUAUCAAUGUCAAAUGACACUCUGCCACUUCGCCUGGUUAAAGAAAAAAUGAAAACAUCAGCACACUAGAACACAGCUCAGAGCCAAGGAUUCGGACACUACUUUAGAAGCAUUUAUUAGCAAAUACAAAUGAAUAUAACAUCAAUCAUCUGUUCAUCAUCCCCAGUACCUAUAAAACAGAUACUAAUAGUAACAAAAGCUGCAGAUAAAAUAGGAGUUGAGGUGAUAAUGGUAGCAGAAUGAUAGUAGCAACAGUGACGAUCAACACCAUACUAUAGAAAUUCAGUUUAAAAGAGAAGGAAGUGAAUCAUAAAAUUCAAAGUAAUAAAAUCAUUACUUAGUGAUUAUUUGCCUGUGAAGUAAGCACCAACAGUUUCCCAUGUGCACUAUGUCUAAGAGGUGAAUGCAAUAGCUUGAGCAAAAUAUUUUGCUUUUCCCAUUUUUGCCAAAUUCAUUUAAAUUAUUUCAGUCAAGUCAACUUUGGGUAAAAAAACCAUUUAGUACCUCCCAUACAAAUAAAAUAUAGCAGUAGAAUCCCACGAAGCACUUGGCUUGUAAUUUUAUACUUUCCUUUACCUAUCAACCAGACAGAUUUAUUCACGAACAUUUGAAAUGGGUAAAAGCAGUAGCCACUAGCCUGCUACAGCACAAUGGAUUCGCAAGGAUCUAAUAGCAAUAUAGCAUGCAAGCUCCAUCAAGUUCCAUAAUAAGAACUAAAGGUAGCAGCAUUGAAGUUGAUAGGAAGGAAUCAAAGCUUGAAACAUGAAAAAGUUUACCAUUGUUAACAAUUAUGGCUAACAAGCUAUUCUACCAUACAUACAAAGACAAUUUUUUUUAACACAAUUACAGCAUUAUAUAAGGAAAGCAAAUAGAUAGUUAAAUCACCUGUUUCCAGAAAGUGACACCCCUCUCAAUCUCUCAACAAGUCUUGCCCUAGCAAGUAGCACACCUCUAGGAAGCCUUUCAUUUCCAGUCAAUCUAGGCCUGCUUGUGCUGCUUAUAGUUUCUGAGCUAGUACUGUUGCUUGGCACAAACAGACUUGUGCUGUGAUCAAGCCAACCUGAGGCAGGUUCAGUGUGGGAAGGCAGGCGAUGGCACAGGUGCCGCACAUGAGAAGAUCUCCUGAGAGGAUCACAACCGUCUAAAUCGUGCCGUGUAUGAUUAUGAUACUGAUGGUGGUGUUGGCGAGUAUAAUUAAGGUGAAAAUUGCGAUCAGAACUGGAAGGAUCAAGCUCCAGAUCGGCGGUGGUGGCUCUGCCCACUCGCGACCUCCUCUGGUAAAACAGCUCCGAUGCGCUCGUCAUGCACUAAUACAAACGCAACAAUGCACAAUCCGAUCCGAGAUUCGCAUAUAAAGAAAAAAGGGAAAGGGAUUUGGAAAUGAAAAUAUUGAAGAAGAUAUUAUUUCCCGUGAUGGGCGCUUUCAACUUCCACCCGUUUGACUUCAUGUAAAAUGGUGUUGGCAAGCCUCUAAGGGGUUUGGAUUGGAAGGGUUGGUUUACAUGAGAAUGGCAAUUGCAACCGACUCUCACCCGAGCUGAUCCACACCCAACUAAUUUUUUU
rnacentral:misc_RNA from 1 species